GCACUAGUUUUAGUGGCACAUAUACUAAAAUUGGAAUGAUACAGAGAAGAUUAGCAUAAUUCCUGCACAAGAAAGGUACACAAGUUUGUGAAGCAUUCCAUAUUUAU
rnacentral:snRNA from 1 species